rnacentral:rRNA from 1 species
AGCUAUAAGUAAGCGGAGGGCAAGAAACUAAACAGGAUCCCCAUAGUAAUGGCGAAUGAACCGGGAUAAACUCAGCAUGGAAAUUGGGGCCUUUGGCUUUGACUUGUAAUCUGGUGAGGCAUUGCCAACAGAGGCGCAUAUGUAAGUCUCUUGGAAAAGAGCAUCAACGAAGGUGAGAGUCCUGAUUGUCAUGUGCAGCCCCCCUGUGCACGGUGUGCCUUCUAAGAGUCACGUUCCUUGGGAUUGGAGCGCAAAUUGGGUGGUAACUUUCAUCUGAAGUUAAACAAUGGUUUGGGACCGAUAGGAAACAAGUACCAUGAGGGAAAGGUGAAAAGGACUUUGGAAAGAGAGUUAAAAGUGCCUGAAAUUGCUGAAGGGGAAGCGAAUGGAACCAGUAGUGCUGGGUGAGAUUGUCACAUGCUACAAGGAUUGGUUGCUGCCACAACGCAAGUGUGAUGGCGAUGUGUGAAUUGCUAGUGUGUGGUGUGUCUUACCUAGUGGGUCAUUGUGGGUUUAUGCAUUAAGAUAAGUCAAAGCAAGCGGGAGCAAGUUUACAGUUUGUGAAUGUGUGUUGUUAUGCUUGUGCGUAAGCUUUAGUGUUUGUCUGGCUGCAGGGCUGUCCAUCCUCAAGCAGGACUUGUGGUUGCGAUGAGCAUAACCUUACUGCACAGAUCUGACGAAAUGUUCUUCGACCG